rnacentral:piRNA from 1 species
UAAGUUUAUGAGGUGGCUUCCUGAAGGAA